ACCCCAACCCGCCCCGCCCCUGAAGUCCAUCCUUGACGUGGAGCAGGAGGAGAGGGAGGAGGAGGUCGGUCCUCCUGGAGAAACUCCUCUCUGCCAGCUGUCACACCGCGGUCACUUACCAGACCAUGACACAGGAGGAAGGGCGUCUUCCCUGAUUCCUGAUUGUUUCCACCUGUGUUCCCCUCCCCCGUGUGUAUAUAGUCUUUGUCUUCCCCUGUCCUUGUUGCCAGAGUAUUUCGUCGUCCUGUCGUAUGCUUCCAGCCCUGUUCACAGUCAUGUAUUGAGUCAAGUUAAGUGUGUAAAGUUUUAUUUUCUGAAUUGCUUUUCCUCUGAAACAGAGUGAUUUUUUGUUCAUAGUUUUCUGGUUAUAAGUCAGAGUAAUUUUUGUAGUGUUGUUUUCCUCCUUUUGGAGCGUUUUCUGUUUAUCUAUUCUUAUCUAUGUUACAAAAUUAACAAUUUCAUAGCAUAUGAAAAUUUAGAAACAAACAAAUCACUCCGAAGAGGAAAAGCACACAGAGUAUUUCCUAUAAGAUCAGAGUAGUUUUUUUUUCCUCCUUCGGGAGCGUUUUUGGUUCUGUGUUUGUUUUGUGUUCUUCGUGUGUCUUAGGCUUUAUUUUACUGAAUAGAUUUCUCAUAGACAGAAAUGAUAAAUCAACAAGCUAUGAAAAUCUAGAAGGUCCGGUCAUUAUUGCUGCCUAUCUGCAUCUGAGUCCUCCUUUUUGCCCAAGCCUGACACCAGCUGCCUGCCUGCCAGACCCACAGGAGGAGAGUUCAGGAGCUGGAGAGGGAGAACGAGGAGCUCCGGGCCUCCAAUGCUCCGUGCGGCAGCAGGUGAGGGCCCCAGCGGCCUCCAGAGGCCAGUGGCCCCUCAUGCUCCACACUGAUAGAUGCUAACCUGCAGCGUUGUCUGUUUUGCUGAUAUGAAACAAAAACAGCUGGUGUUGUAAUCACUAUUGAUGUGAAACGUGUUCUCUAUUUAUCUGUUCACUGUGUGUAUCCAGGCAACUGAAAGCUGCAGUAGGAGCAGUGAGGCUGAGGAGGAGGAGGACGCUCCACCUCCUGCUAAAGUGGUUAGA